UACGUAGGGUGCGAGCGUUGUCCGGAAUUAUUGGGCGUAAAGGGCUCGUAGGCGGUCUGUCACGUCGGGAGUGAAAACUCAGGGCUUAACCCUGAGCCUGCUUCCGAUACGGGCAGACUAGAGGUAUGCAGGGGAGAACGGAAUUCCUGGUGUAGCGGUGAAAUGCGUAGAUAUCAGGAGGAACACCGGUGGCGAAAGCGCUCAUCUGGCCCAAUACUGACGCUGAGGCGCGAAAGCUAGGGGAGCAAACGGG
rnacentral:rRNA from 1 species